CAGCAGCCACGGUAAUACGUAGGUGGCAAGCGUUGUCCGGAAUUAUUGGGCGUAAAGGGCUCGCAGGCGGUUUCUUAAGUCUGAUGUGAAAGCCCCCGGCUCAACCGGGGAGGGUCAUUGGAAACUGGGAAACUUGAGUGCAGAAGAGGAGAGUGGAAUUCCACGUGUAGCGGUGAAAUGCGCAGAGAUGUGGAGGAACACCAGUGGCGAAGGCGACUCUCUGGUCUGUAACUGACGCUGAGGAGCGAAAGCGUGGGGAGCGAACAGGAUUAGAUACCCCAGUAGUCCCUGUCUCUUAUAA
rnacentral:rRNA from 1 species